rnacentral:rRNA from 1 species
AUCCGAUGGUGGUGGAAAGUUUUACGGUUCAGGGAGUGGGCCCGCGGCCUAUCAGCUAGUUGGUGGGGUAAUGGCCUACCAAGGCGACGACGGGUAGCCGGCCUGAGAGGGCGACCGGCCACACUGGGACUGAGACACGGCCCAGACUCCUACGGGAGGCAGCAGUGGGGAAUAUUGCGCAAUGGGCGAAAGCCUGACGCAGCGACGCCGCGUGAGGGAUGAAGGCCUUCGGGUUGUAAACCUCUUUCAGCAGGGACGAAGCGAAAGUGACGGUACCUGCAGAAGAAGCACCGGCUAACUACGUG